UACGUAGGGUGCAAGCGUUGUCCGGAAUUAUUCGGCGUAAAGAGCUUGUAGGCGGUUUGUCGCGUCUGCUGUGAAAUUUCGGGGCUCAACCCCGAACUUGCAGUGGGUACGGGCAGACUAGAGUGUGGUAGGGGAGACUGGAAUUCCUGGUGUAGCGGUGAAAUGCGCAGAUAUCAGGAGGAACACCGAUGGCGAAGGCAGGUCUCUGGGCCAUAACUGACGCUGAGAAGCGAAAGCAUGGGGAGCGAACAGG
rnacentral:rRNA from 1 species